UGACGGUGGCACUGGCAAUCAAAUGCAUUUCAGAACCUAUUUCAAAAACCUCACCGAAACCUGACAGUUCUUUUGUGCCUCAACCUGUUUCAACCUUCACACCUCGCGUCGCAUCUCAACUAUAGUCACCAUCGUCACACCUCGCCGCCACAUCUCAACUAUAACCACCACCGUCAUACCUCGCCGCCAUCGCCACCAUCGAAUCUAAACCUCCUUAGGUUGCAUCUCAACUUCGCUGUCGUUGUAUCUCAUUGCAGUCGUAACCUCGUCGCCUUCGUAAUCUCAUUGCGAUCUUGCAGAUACUGUGUUUUUCUGAGAUUGGAUUCUAUUCUCAAGUUAGAGGAGGCAGAGAGUUCCGACAUUGUCGCCAUUGCUCCUUGUAUAGAGCCAAUGCCAAGCCUGGUGUUCUUCCUGAAAAUUCCAUCACUUUAUCGUCUCUGAUUGCUCCUAGAUUGGCACGUAGAGGUGGUGUGGAUGAGCCAUUUGCGUGGGAAAGCAGAGAGUUUAUGAGGAAGCUCUUGAUAGGGAAGGAAAUUACUUUCAGAAUUGAUUACACCGUGCCAUCCAUCAAUCGUGAGUUUGGAACGGUUUUUCUUGGCGAUAAAAAUGUUGCAAUGCUGGUUGUAUCUCAAGGACGGGCAAAGGUUAGAGAGCAGGGGCAGCAGAAAGGAGAAGUGAGUCCAUUCCUGGCAGAAUUGUUACGGUUAGAAGAGCAAGCUAAACAAGAAGGUCUUGGUCGUUGGAGCAAGUUGCAAAGAUGUACACUUCAAGGAAGAAAAUCAGUAAAGACAAGGGUGCUGAGCCAACCGAAUUUGAGGAAAAAGUUGCAUAGGCUUUGUUUGACCUAGAAAAUACCAACCAUGAAAUUAAGAUAUACUUUUGUAGUUGUAUUCUGGAAUAAAAAAGAAUGAAGGAGACAAAAGGAGAAGACUCAACAUUUAGUGACUUUUAUUUUCGUACUCAUCGUACUAAGCUCGUCCUCUUAAUUAUUAUUUUAAGGAUUAUGUAUUAUGGGUGUUCCAACAAUUAGUUAAUAAUUCUGAUUAUAUGAAAACAUUUAUGCCUCAAAUUUUCUAUUUUCUUGCAGGAGAAAUUUAGAUUGAGUUAUCGUCUGAAGCUUCAACUUUUGUUUCGGGAGAGGACGAAGCUGAUAGUCAACCAACCAAAGAUAUGCCAUCUGAUAUUGAUAAAUGGGUUGAUGUAGUUGGGAGAAAGAAAGGGAGAAUAUUUGGUCUUGGAUCUAUAUCCAAAACAUUGAAUCCAAAUCAACCAUCAAUGCCUUCUGAUUCAGAGGUUAAUUUCUUUGAGAAAUCAAGUUCAUGCUCUGAAUGAAUCGUUGCAAAAACAUUUGUUAAUAUUUUGGUUGUAUCAUGUACUUGAUUAUACUUAAUAUUUUUUGGAUCAUGUUUUAAUUAA